GUUUAGAACUUUUAUCAUAACACUCAUUAAAUUCUCAAUAUGAUUCUAUAUAUAAAGAACAUAGAAAAUUUUAAACCUGUUUUUUCAAAAAUACUUGAGUUGUUCCAUAUUUAUUAUAGAUUUGUGGGAGGAUAUAUUACAACAUAUAUAAAAAUCAACAAAAUUCAAAAGGGCCAUGAUUGGCACUCCUCUUGUAAGACCAAUAGAAAAGUUCAUGAAGCUAUUGCACUCACUAUAAGAGGGAUGUUGAAUCUAUGGCUUGUCUGUCCAAAAUGACAGGUUGAAAAAUUUUUUGGCACAGAAAACUUGAACCUGAUACAAUAAACUCUCAAUGAUCCAGAGUUAAUUUAUCUGAAUUAUGAAUUAUUGAUGUUUUAUCUUAACUGUGAUAUCUGAAGCCUUUUUAAGCAUUCAGAUUAUUAUUAUUAUUAUCUGUUUGCACUGGUUGCCAGGACUGGAUGCACAGAGAGCUAUGGCACCAUCAGGCAGUUGACUUGAUUUCCUGCAUCAGGCUGGAACAGUUGAUCAUGAUUUUUAAAAAUUAUUUUUCAGUAAUCUAAAAAGCUUUCUGGAAUUUAAUUACUGUAUAUUGUAGAUUAUAUUUGUUAUUAUUGAUUACCGAUA
rnacentral:lncRNA from 1 species